rnacentral:rRNA from 1 species
CCUACGGGAGGCAGCAGUGGGGAAUAUUGGGCAAUGGGCGCAAGCCUGACCCAGCAACGCCGCGUGAAGGAAGAAGGCUUUCGGGUUGUAAAAUUCUUUUUUCAGGGAAGAAUAGAAGACGGUGCCUGCCGAAUAAGCCCCUGCUAACUACGUUCCAUCAGCCGCCGGAAUACGUGGGGUGCAAGCGUUGUCCGGAUUUAGUGGGUGUAACGGGCGUGUAGCCGGGUUGACAAGUCAGAUGUGAAAUCUUGCGGCUUAACCGCAGAACUGCAUUUGAAACUGUUGAUCUUGAGUACAGGAGAGGUAGACGGAAGUCGUAGUGGAGCGGUGAAAUGCGUAGAUAUUAGGAGGAACACCAGUGGCGAAGGCGGCCUGUUGGACAGCAACUGACGGUGAGGCGCGAAAGCGUGGGGAGCAAACAGGAUUAGAUACCCGUGUAGUC